rnacentral:rRNA from 1 species
GUAGGUGGCAAGCGUUGUCCGGAAUUAUUGGGCGUAAAGCGCGCGCAGGCGGUUCUUUAAGUCUGAUGUGAAAGCCCACGGGCUCAACCGUGGAGGGUCAUUGGAAACUGGAGAACUUGAGUACAGAAGAGGAAAGCGGAAUUCCACGUGUAGCGGUGAAAUGCGUAGAGAUGUGGAGGAACACCAGUGGCGAAGGCGGCUUUCUGGUCUGUAACUGGCGCUGAGGCGCGAAAGCGUGGGGAGCAAACAGGAUUAGAUACCCUGGUAGUCCACGCCGUAAACGAUGAGUGCUAAGUGUUAGGGGGUUUCCGCCCCUUAGUGCUGCAGCUAACGCAUUAAGCACUCCGCCUGGGGAGUACGGCCGCAAGGCUG